rnacentral:sRNA from 18 species
GUCGCCGGCGGCGGUGACUAGCCGCACCGCGACCAGGUUGUCGCAGCUCAGUCCGAAACGUCGAGUCGUCCAACCCA